UACGUAGGGUGCAAGCGUUGUCCGGAAUUAUUGGGCGUAAAGAGCUCGUAGGCGGUUUGUCGCGUCGGCUGUGAAAACCUGUGGCUCAACUGCAGGCUUGCGGUCGAUACGGGCAGGCUGGAGUUCGGUAGGGGAGACUGGAAUUCCUGGUGUAGCGGUGAAAUGCGCAGAUAUCAGGAGGAACACCGGUGGCGAAGGCGGGUCUCUGGGCCGAUACUGACGCUGAGGAGCGAAAGCGUGGGGAGCGAACAGG
rnacentral:rRNA from 1 species